rnacentral:misc_RNA from 1 species
GAUGAAGAACGUAGCGAAAUGCGAUACUUGGUGUGAAUUGCAGAAUCCCGUGAACCAUCGAGUCUUUGAACGCAAGUUGCGCCCGAAGCCACUAGGCCGAGGGCACGCCUGCCUGGGCGUCACACGCCGUUGCCCCCCCAUCUACUCCUUCGGGAUUGCGGGGGGCGGAUGAUGGCCUCCCGUGCGCCUAGCCGCGCGGUUGGCAUAAAUACCAAGUCCUCGGCGACGCACGCCACGACAAUCGGUGGUUGCGAAACCUCGGUUGCCCGUCGUGUGCGUUCGUCGCGCAUCGAGGGCUCGAAAAAAUGCUCGGCUCCGGCUGGGCUUUCAACGCGACCCCAGGUCAGGCGGGGUUACCCGCUGAAUUUAAGCAUAUCAAUAAGCGGAGGA